CUUUCAUCCCUGGCAUCUCCAAAGGAGCCCAGGGACUGCAGCCACACCCACGGCUGCCAGCGUUUGACGCCGCUUGUGCUCUCACAUUUUGGGUGAUGAUGUCAGUCCCGUUCUUCACAUCCCACCCUCGUGUACCUGAGAGAUGUGAAGUGCCUGCCUUGCUGUUCCAACCCCAUCAGCUCACCUCCUUCAGUGACUCAGAGCUCGAGAGGCAAAGCUCAUCUGAACAGCCUUCUAAUUCAGGAUCCCUGAGCCACUCACGGAGCCUUGCUCACACACAAGUGUCUCUCAAAAACCUGAACCCUUUCUUGGCUGCUCCGUGGAGUUUACUUCUCCCUUCCUCAUGGAUUAAUUAGUCAUGCAGGUGGAUAAUAGCAUAUAAAUGCAAAUAGCUAAUAAACAAGAACUGAGACGACAGCCCUUCGCUGUGCCUGAGUCCCCUUACAUUCUGCCCCGAGAUAUCUCUGUACCUCUGCAUCUUUCUUUUAAUUGGCAGGAAUUUUUCAGGCACUCUUAAAGACUGAGUCAUCAAGGAUCUUUGAGGAUUCCCUGUAACAGAGCCACUUGAAAUAGAAGAGAUAUGACCCCAUGUGCUGUGUGGGAGAUGGCUUCCUUUUCUUUUGUACAUCAUAAUUGUUGUACAGAUUGAAUUCUGAGAAUCCUGAGGAGAGACUGGAGGUUAAGGACCUGCUGCAGCAGUGCACUGAAGGACUUGUUCAAGUUUCAGCUGACAGCAAUCCUUUUGAAAUCUGAAGAUUAAAUCACUGGGGGGCAGCACAAUCUCUCUUGUCUCUGUUAGCCAGGUCUCCAGCAGGAAGAGGGAAGAAUGUAUUUCUGGAGGCUCUGGAGCAGAUUCAUUGAUUCUGGAGUAUUUUCUUCUCCCCAGACACCAUUC